UACGUAGGGGCCUAGCGUUGUCCGGAUUUAUUGGGCGUAAAGAGCUCGUAGGCGGUUCGGCAAGUCGGAUGUGAAAUCUCCACGCUUAACGUGGAGGAGCCAUUCGAAACUGCCGUGACUCGAGUCCGGUAGGGGAGUGUGGAAUUCCUGGUGUAGCGGUGAAAUGCGCAGAUAUCAGGAGGAACACCGAUGGCGAAGGCAGGUCUCUGGGCCACUACUGACGCUGAGAAGCGAAAGCAUGGGGAGCGAACAGG
rnacentral:rRNA from 1 species